UACAGAGUAGGUGAUUUGCGUCAAGUGUAUGUGAAUGGGAUGUCGUCACAUAAGGAAGCCAAAUGCGCGGUAAAUCAUUGCAUCCGCUGUU
rfam:Streptococcus parauberis NCFD 2020 Noncontiguous_Finished_Chromosome chromosome, whole genome shotgun sequence.